AAACUUAUACAAAAACCCAAAUCUAGAUUUCAAUACGAAUAAUAUAUAGCUGCUCAGUUGUGAUUCUCCCAAAUCAACAUCAGCAAAAAUCGUAUAAAUACGAAAUCACCGAAGAUUCAUAGGGAGAAUUAUAUAAAUAACGAAAGCAACACGAUUGAUUUUGCUUCAAGGGAACGAAUCAUAUGGGAACGAACAAAUCCACAUAGACUAUCUGAUGAAGCCAA
rnacentral:sRNA from 1 species